rfam:Brassica oleracea var. oleracea cultivar TO1000 chromosome C2, whole genome shotgun sequence
GAAAAAUGAGGAGUGGUUUUUUUCUCGCUUUAUUAUGAGAGAAGAGCGUUUCGCUCCGUCUGUUACGACAAUCGAGCGCUCUCCUUUGUCCGUCAAUCUUUUUUC